rnacentral:rRNA from 1 species
GACGAACGCUGGCGGCGUGCCUAAUACAUGCAAGUUGAGCGCUGAAGGUUGGUACUUGUCCCGACUGGAUGAGCAGCGAACGGGUGAGUAACGCGUGGGGAAUCUGCCUUUGAGCGGGGGACAACAUUUGGAAACGAAUGCUAAUACCGCAUAAAAACUUUAAACACAAGUUUUAAGUUUGAAAGAUGCAAUUGCAUCACUCAAAGAUGAUCCCGCGUUGUAUUAGCUAGUUGGUGAGGUAAAGGCUCACCAAGGCGAUGAUACAUAGCCGACCUGAGAGGGUGAUCGGCCACAUUGGGACUGAGACACGGCCCAAACUCCUACGGGAGGCAGCAGGAGGGAAUCUUCGGCAAUGGACGAAAGUCUGACCGAGCAACGCCGCGUGAGUGAAGAAGGUUUUCGGAUCGUAAAACUCUGUUGGUAGAGAAGAACGUUGGUGAGAGUGGAAAGCUCAUCAAGUGACGGUAACUACCCAGAAAGGGACGGCUAACUACGUG